rnacentral:rRNA from 1 species
UACGGAGGGUGCAAGCGUUGUCCGGAAUCACUGGGCGUAAAGGGCGCGUAGGCGGCUCGGUAAGUAGGGGGUGGAAUCCUGCGGCUCAACCGCAGGGCUGCCUUCUAAACUGUCGAGCUCGAGCACGGUAGAGGCAGAUGGAAUUCCCGGUGUAGCGGUGGAAUGCGUAGAGAUCGGGAAGAACAUCAGUGGCGAAGGCGGUCUGCUGGGCCGUUGCUGACGCUGAGGCGCGACAGCGUGGGGAGCAAACAGG